UACGUAGGUGGCAAGCGUUGUCCGGAUUUACUGGGCGUAAAGAGCGCGCAGGCGGUCGUUCAAGUCGCGUGUGAAAGCCCCCGGCUCAACUGGGGAGGGUCACGCGAUACUGAUCGACUCGAAGGCAGGAGAGGGAAGUGGAAUUCCUGGUGUAGCGGUGAAAUGCGCAGAUAUCAGGAAGAACACCUAUGGCGAAGGCAGCUCUCUGGGACGGUACUGACGCUGAGACGCGAAAGCGUGGGGAGCGAACAGG
rnacentral:rRNA from 1 species